AAAUAAAAACCAUAUGAUGAUGAUGGGAAUGACGAUGAUUAUGACGGUAGGCAGAUAUUUCGCCAUUGCAGUAAAUAGAUAAGGCAAAUUAGUUGAGUUUUGCAAAGGCGCGUUAUUUUAUUGAAAUUGUAGUGAAUUCGGGGCGAGAACACUUCCAAAAAUCGGUUGUAAUUAUUAGCAAUACGCUGUGGCCAAUCCGAUCCGUGACAGAUACCUGGGAAUCACCGGUAAUAGGAAUAGGAAAGGUGUCCACAUUCCGGCGACAUUCGCUAUUCACACUCAAUCAAGUUAGGGUAACUGCACCCAUUAUCAUCCCAAGAUAGAAUUGGAAACCACUUCUUGUGAGUAUUUGUAC